rnacentral:rRNA from 1 species
CUUGGCGGCCAUAGCGCAACGGUCCCACCUGAUCCCAUGCCGAACUCAGAAGUGAAACGUUGUA